CCAAAGGCUCUUUUUAGAGCCACCCACUUCCUCGUAAAAGGAGCUGU
rfam:Aptenodytes forsteri contig10748, whole genome shotgun sequence.